GGUCUUUCAAACCAGAUGAACCUGUUAACGAUCAUUAGAAGUGCCAUCAUUAAAUAACGAAGAAGACGGCUUGAGUAUCUAACAGUAACUUGGUGUUGUGCUGUUCGCUUUUGCUGUGACAGUGAAAAAGCAUCUGUGGAAGUGACUGGUCCAUCAGAAGGAAGCAACUGAGACAACUUGUCCAGAUUCAAAGAAGUAACGGACAAGAGAGAGUGAACAGACAGAGAAGAAGGGAGGAGAGCCUAGAUCUAUGAGAAGCCAGAAAUCCCAGGAAUCGAAGACACUGACUUCAGCCUCACCUUCAGUUUACUGGUGUGGGCUCUGGUCAGCUGAGUUGAAACAUCCUAAGUGCUGUCAGAUUUCUGCUUUGCCAAGUCUCCUGCCCACAUCUUUGUCCUGCUGCCCUUGAGCUAAGUCAUCAUGCCUAGGAGCCACAAGGGUAAAGGUCGCUCUCAUACCAAACGUCAAAAUGUACAGGAGAAGAGCCAAAGUCUUAAUGUUGUACAUCCCACUACAAAAGAGGAACCAACAUCUUCUAUUGGUCAAGAGGAUCCUGCAAAAGAGGAACCAACAUCUUCUAUUGGUCAAGAGGAUCCCCCCAGUUCCUCUGAGAGCUGCACUCAACUGGCUACUCAGACAAAUAGAGCCUCUGUUUCUGAUGACUUAAGUGUGUUCUCAACAGGUGCUGUAGGCGGUGGGGCUUCUGGUAUAAAUGCUGAGGUUUCUGUGAUAAGCUCUCUGCGACGUUUAGCCACCAUCAUGACAGGCUCUACCACUCUUUCUGCACGCAGAGAUCCUCUCAACAGGAUGGCAAGUGUAUUGAUGGAAUUCAUGCUGGAGAAGUUUAGGGUGAAAGAGCACUUUACACAGGAAGAUAUGUCGAAGGUGAUUAACAGAAAGUACAAAGCACACUUCCCUGAGAUCCUUAAAAGAAUGUCUGUGCACCUGAAGUUGGUCUUUGGCCUCGAGUUGAAGGAAGUUGAUCCCAUUUCUCAGUCAUAUAUGCUUGUGGGCAUGCUGGGUCUCUCCACCGAGGGAAAUCUGAGGAACAGUAGUGGGUUACCCAAGACAGGGCUCCUGAUGACACUUCUGGCUGUGAUCUUCAUGAAUGGUAACAUUACCAGUGAGGAUGAUAUCUGGGAAUUCCUGAAAGAGGUGGGGAUAUAUCCUGGAAUGGUUCAUCCAAUCUUUGGGGAACCUA